AUUGAACGCUGGCGGCAUGCCUUACACAUGCAAGUCGAACGGCAGCACGGGAGCAAUCCUGGUGGCGAGUGGCGAACGGGUGAGUAAUAUAUCGGAACGUGCCCAGUCGUGGGGAUAACGUAGCGAAAGCUACGCUAAUACCGCAUACGAUCUAUGGAUGAAAGCGGGGGAUCGCAAGACCUCGCGCGAUUGGAGCGGCCGAUAUCAGAUUAGGUAGUUGGUGAGGUAAAGGCUCACCAAGCCGACGAUCUGUAGCUGGUCUGAGAGGACGACCAGCCACACUGGGACUGAGACACGGCCCAGACUCCUACGGGAGGCAGCAGUGGGGAAUUUUGGUCAAUGGGCGCAAGCCUGAACCAGCCAUGCCGCGUGCAGGAAGACGGUCCUAUGGAUUGUAAACUGCUUUAUACAGGAGAAACCCUCCACGUGUGGGAGCUUGACGGUACUGUAGGAAUAAGGAUCGGCUAACUCCGUG
rnacentral:rRNA from 1 species